UACGUAGGGGGCAAGCGUUGUCCGGAUUUAUUGGGCGUAAAGAGCUCGUAGGCGGCUUACCAAGUCGGGUGUGAAACCUCCAGGCUCAACCUGGAGCUGCCACUCGAUACUGGUAUGGCUUGAGUCCGGUAGGGGACCACGGAAUUCCUGGUGUAGCGGUGAAAUGCGCAGAUAUCAGGAGGAACACCAGUGGCGAAGGCGGCCUUCUGGACAGUGACUGACGCUGAGACGCGAAAGCGUGGGGAGCAAACAGG
rnacentral:rRNA from 1 species